rnacentral:rRNA from 1 species
GACGAACGCUGGCGGCGUGCUUAACACAUGCAAGUCGAACGGAAAGGCCCUGCUUUUGUGGGGUGCUCGGGUGGCGAACGGGUGAGUAACACGUGAGUAACCUGCCCUUGACUUUGGGAUAACUUCAGGAAACUGGGGCUAAUACCGGAUAGGAGCUCCUGCUGCAUGGUGGGGGUUGGAAAGUUUCGGCGGUUGGGGAUGGACUCGCGGCUUAUCAGCUUGUUGGUGGGGUAGUGGCUUACCAAGGCUUUGACGGGUAGCCGGCCUGAGAGGGUGACCGGCCACAUUGGGACUGAGAUACGGCCCAGACUCCUACGGGAGGCAGCAGUGGGGAAUAUUGCACAAUGGGCGGAAGCCUGAUGCAGCAACGCCGCGUGCGGGAUGACGGCCUUCGGGUUGUAAACCGCUUUCGCCUGUGACGAAGCGUGAGUGGCGGUAAUGGGUAAAGAAGCACCGGCUAACUACGUG